GCAUUGCGCGCUACCUUAACAAGACUACGAGGCGAACUCACUCACCGCAUAAUAACACAUAGCUGCUUGGCUCAGUUGCUUCGAAACAUCCAAACAAGAAAGUAAGGAAAGUGGUGAUUUACGUUGUUUAUUCCGCUUUCCGCUCCGCCGCCCGCCUGCCCGCGUUUGAAAUAAUAAAACAUCUAAACUAAUAAGAAUAAGAAACAAAAAAAGUGUUAAUAACGUGUUUACUUUACUGUAAGUGCGCUGCCUGGCGUAUGGCUUAUUAAAGCAUGUGUGUUUGUGUACAAAUAAUGUUCUAUGUUCUCAAACCGCUGGCUUAAAGAGUUCUUAGAAGAUUUGUGUUUUUUUUUUGUUCUGAAUAAGAAGAAGAAGAAGUAAACCUUCAAAUUAAUUGAAUGAAUUAAAUUGUGGGCAAUUUUCCUAUUAAAGAGAGUUUUUCUAGUGAAAGCGAAACAUUUGUGUAGAAGAUACAAGGAAAAAAAAACAAAAAAAUACUCCAUCAAAAAAUUUCUAAGAAAGAAUAAUUGCUUGAAAAAAUUACUCCAAGAAAAAAAAUCCCCAAUUAUUGUGAUCCGUUUUGACACAUGGAUUAAAAGAGGAAUAACCAAAAAUUACAAAAACAAAAUCAACACAACAACCUGAAAAAAAACAACAACAAAUAAUCCAUCAUUAUUUUGUUUAUACAUUCAACGAAAACUUCAUUUCCCCCCUCAUCCAUUCCCACCCACACACCUAAACAACGCUUGGGUCAUCAGAGGAGCCGAAAAUAUAAUUUCGCCCAACGCUGACGCUACUGCCGCAUAAUUUUCUUCGUUUUUGAUUCUUCUUUGUUUUGGUUUGCUUACCUUUGUUCCUGCCUAACCAACCAUUCAAACAUCGCAACAUCCCCAGCAACUAUCAGUCAAAAGCAUCAAAGAAACAAUCAAGCAAACCAUCAUCAGCAUCAUCAUCAGCAAUAGCAGCAGCAGCAGCAGCCAGGAACAGUUAGUCAGUCUCCAAAAUAUACACAGCCCCCAGAGUCUCAUCAUUGAACAGCAGCUUUGCGCUUCUUCUUCUUGGCUGUUGCGUUUUUUUGGGUUUAGCCGCAUCGCCAUCAGUCCAGCAGCCGAAAGAAACAGAAAAAACCCUCCUCAAAGUGUGAUUGUCCGCGCUGUUGAUAUCUGAUAACAUAUGAUAUCAAAUGACUUCGAAGCCCUUUGGAUAUCCGUGACUUUGUGUUUUUUUGUUGUUUCCUCAAGUCUUCAUUGUUUUCCUGCAUUUCUUUUUGAACUCAAAGCUUCCUUUUUUUAAACCUCCCAAAGCCUAGACUCCACUGUGGGAGAGAUUAUUGAGGAAAGUCGUAUAUAAAUAACAGCUUCAAAAUUACCUACGCAUCUUUAAAUUCGUCAACCACGGAAAACGCAUUUAAAAUGCGUUUUGAACCAUUGGGCCAGAAAAUGUUCACACGACGAAAUUGGCUACUGCGCUGCAGUAUACUUAUCAAUAUUGCUGUGAUCUUAUAUAUCUGCAGUCAUGUGAUGAUUGGUAAUCGUUAUACGCUAACAUCGGGCUCACAAUUUGUUAUACAAGAACAGCCUACACCAGUGCAACAGCAGCCACAAAUGCAACAGCAGCAACAACAGCCAGAGCAGGGAAUGGUCAGAGAACCCUUGGCCAAAGUGGAACUUGUUGAAGAAAAGCAAGAGCCUGCCAAACCACUUAGUGGUGAUAGUGGAGGUGGCCCUAUAACAGGAGUUGGAGGCGCUGGCGGUGGUAGUGGUGUUGGCUCCAAUGAUUUACAACAGCCUUCGGUUAAGGAUGCAGAUACCCCCGAAAUGGAUCCCAAUUUGGGCGAUCCAGCAAAUAUUAUUGGCAAUACUGGUAGUGCCACUAAUAAUUUUGUAAAUAAUACCAAUGCCGAUGCCAAUUAUCUGGUAACUGGCGAUGAAAAAGAUUUGGAUGAACGUUUGCGUAGCCUGUUGAAAUGCUAUGACAAACCCUUUGAGGCCGAAACUCUACAGCGUGGAGAUUUUUGGGUAUUAAAAAACUAUGUUCGCGCUGAACAUGGUGAACUGAAGUGCCAUGAGUCAAUAACCUAUACCACACAUGCAGAUUAUACAUUUCUCGAUAAUCUGAUACCAUUGUUAGAAAGAUGGAAUGCUCCCGUUAGCAUAGCUAUGCAUGCUCCUGGCACAGACUUCCAACCUACCUUGGAUUCCAUCAAAUAUCUAAGAGACUGUUUGCCCGGUAGUAAUCUGGUGCGUGCAUAUGCCACCUUCCACAUCUACUUUAGUACCAAACAUAUCCCCAAAACGAUACCUAAAUACUCAGAUGCUCUAAAGAAGGGCUACAAUUGUACAUUGCCUCCGCCGUAUGUGAAUGUGACCUCGGGUCAUUUGUAUAAAACACAAAAGAAACUAUUGUAUCCCGUCAAUGUUGGCCGCAAUAUUGCCAGAGAUGCUGCCAUUACACAUUUCAUAUUGGCUUCCGACAUUGAGUUGUAUCCAAAUCCGGGUCUUGUUAAAAAAUUCCUAGAGAUGAUAGCACGCAAUGAGCCGUAUUUAAAUAGGAAAUCUCCACGCGUUUUUCCUUUAUCCAUAUUCGAAGUGGAUGACAGCAGUCCUGUGCCCCAUGAUAAAUCUGAAUUACAAGAGUUCCUGCGCUCCGGCAAAGCCAUACCAUUCCAUAAACGUGUGUGCGCCAGCUGUCAUGGUGUACCAAAAUCCAAAGAAUGGAUGGCCGCCAACGAAACCGACGAAUUAAGUGUCUUCCAUAUUGGAAAGCGAACCGGUUACUUUGUACACUGGGAACCCAUUUACAUAGGUACAAAUGCCGAACCCCAUUAUGAUGAACGCCUCAGUUGGGAGGGCAAAAGUGAUAAAAUGACACAGGGCUAUGCCUUAUGUGUUCUAGAUUAUGAAUUUCAUAUAUUAGACAAUGCCUUUCUGGUACAUAAGCCAGGCAUUAAGGUAUUAAAAAAGGAUACACGUCGUGCCAUGUUGGCUGGCAAAACCAAUCAACUGAUACGCAAAAUCAUCUAUCCCGAAUUGAAAAUUAUGUAUGGCACACGAAAUGGCUGCGCCGUAUAGUGGUUAAUCAAGCAUAAAAGUUGAAAAACUUUUCAUGCUAAUAGUAUUAACCAAUUGUCAUUGUCAUCGCCAACGUCAUCGUGUACAUUAUGGAAUUGUUGUAAAUCCCUUUCUGAAUUGAAAGAGGAAGUUGAAAAAAAAAAAAACUAAAUAAAAGAACACAUGAAAUCAUAAAAUGAAUUACGUUUUUAAGCUGUAAAACCGUGAUAUUUGUACUAGUAAUUAUUUAAUAUUUUUUUGUUUAACUAAAAAAGAAAUUAAAAACAAAAUAAAAAAAAAAACAAUAAUAAAAUAGUAUAUAUAAAAUUAGCUAUUUAAGACACAUAGUAAUGUAAUUAUUUAAGACCAAUACAAAUUUAAAAUGAAAUUAUAAUAAAAAAAAACACACACAUUGCACAUUUUAUAGUUUGUAUUGUAAAUGCCACUGAAAAACAGAGAAAUUUAGUAUUAAAAUUACACACAUACUACUUUGUAAAUAGUUAAAACGAAUAAAAUAGGAAAUAUAUACACACAUAUACACACAAACACCUACACACACACGUCUAUAUAAUAUUUGAGAAUUUCGAAUGGAUCAACAUUUAAUUGUGUUGAAAGUAUAUCAUUAUUUUUUACCAUUUGUAUUCCCUCAAUACAACAAUAAAAAGAGGCGAAAGAAAAUUCUAAAAUUAAACACAGAAUACACAUAAACACUCCACACACACUAAAUAUUCCAUCUUUAUAAGACUUUGAUGAAAUAUAAAAUCUAAGCUCUUUCCAUUAUUGAAAAUUCAGCUUCUUUCCAAAAAAAAAAAUUCAGCUUUGGGAUGUGAUUAUUCUCGUGUGUAGUGUGAGUAUCUCUUGAGACGCCUCAAGAUAUACUCCUGAAUUCUUCCUGAGUCGUAGGAUAAUUGCGAGUCUUAGGUUUAUAUUGAUUGGCUAGCUCGUUUCAAAAGGUGAGUUCAACUUAUUCUUACUUUACUUUAAUUGACUAUGACAGAACAUUUGUCCCAUUAGCCAUUCCAAGCGCCUCGAGUUUCUGCGCACCUUCUCCAGAUGUCUUUCACCACUUGAUCUUUCCAUUGGGCUUUUUAUACCCUCCAACAUAGGUUGGGGGUAUACUAAUUUCGUCAUUCUGUUUGUAAUACCUAGUAAUAUGCGUCUGAGACCCCAUUAAGUAUAUAUAUAUUCUAGAUCGUCAUGUCAUUUUUAAUCGAUCUAACCAUGUCCGUCCGUCUAUCCAUCCCUCUGUCUGUCGAAAGCACGCUAACUUUCGAUGGUAUAAAGCUAACCGCUUGAAAUUUUGCACAAAUACUUUUUAUUUGUGUAGGUCGGUUGGAAUUGUAAAUGGGCCAUAUCGGUCCAUGUUUUGAUAUAGGUGCCAUAUAAACCGAUCUUGGGUCUUGACUUCUUGAGCCACUAGAGGGCGCAAUUCUCAUCCGAUUUGAUUGAAAUUUUGCACGUGUUGUUUUGGGCGCACUUCCAACAUCAGCACUAAGUGUGGUUCAAAUCGGUCCAUGUUUUGAUAUAGCUGCAAUAUAAACCGAUCUGGGAUCUUGUCUUCCUGAGCCUUUAGAGGGCGCAAUUCUCAUCCGAUUUGGCUGAAAUUUUGCAUGAGGUGUUUUGUUAUGACUUCCAAUAACUGUGCUAAGUAUGGCGCAAAUCGGUAGGUAACUUGAUAUAGCUGCAAUAUAAACUGAUCUUGGGUCUUGACUUCUUGAGCCACUAGAGGGCACAAUACUUAACCGAUUUGGCUGUAAUUUUUCAUGAGGUGUUUUAUUAUGACUCCCAACAACUGUGCUGAGUAUGAUUGAAAUCGAUCCAUAACCUGAUAUAGCUGCAAUAUAAACCGAUCUGGGAUUUUGACUUCUUGAGCCUCUAGAGGGCGCAAUUCUCAUCCGAUUUGGAAGAAAUUUUGUACAACGGCUUCCCUCAUGAUCUUCAACAUACGUGUCUAAUAUGGUCUGCAUCGAUCAAUAGCUUGAUACAGUUCCCAUAUAAACCUAUUUUGCUUCUUGAGCCCCUACAAGGCGCAAUUCUUUUCCGAAUGAACUGAAAUAUUACACGAUGGCUUCUACAAUAUUAAGCAUUCAUAUAUGUUCCGAAUUGGACUAUAACUUGAUAUAGCUCCAAUAGCAUAACAGUUCUUAUUCAAUAUUCUUUGUUUGCCUAAAAGAGAUACCGCGCAUAGAACUCGACAAAUGCGAACCAUGGAGGAGGGUGUAUAAGAUUCGGCUCAGCCGAACUUAGCACGCUUUUAGUUGUUGUUUUUGUUGUUGUAGCCACAUUUUCAUGUGCAGCUGAUGAUCCUCAUGAAGCUCCUAUAGGUGAGCAAGUUUGUUCCGGUCCAAAGGACCGAUCCCCGCAGGAACAGGGUUGGCCAUUGGUUAUUUGAAGGCGCCAAUAACUCGCCUUUUCAUAUCGAGCAUCGUAGGCACUCAGUAUUUGUGCAAGAGCCGGUGCCACCCGACCUCUCACUGAGACUCUUCGCAAGUGGUCAUAGUUAUCCCCUGCCGGGAAAUGGGUUUGAAUCUGCGAUAACGCUUUUCGAGGUGAACUAAAAAAUGAAACGGAAAAAAAUUCCAGAUAUGAGGCUCGGUUUCUUAUUCUUUGUAGUAUGACACCUAAUACCCCUUUAUAGCUCGAUUUUUGGCAUUGUCUAUUAGUUUUGGGUUAAAUGAAAUCAAAUAAGAUUCAAGUAGGAUUCUCGAGAAAAAUCUAAAAGACAUUUGUCUCAGCCUCACUCAGUAUUAGUGCAAGAGCCGGUGCCACCCGACCUCUCACUGAGACUUUCCGCUAGUGGUCAUAGUUAUCCCCCUGCCGGGAAAUGGGUUUGAAUCUGCGAUAACGCUUUUCGAGGUGAACUAAAAAAUGAAACGGAAAAAAAUUCCAGAUAUGAGGCUCGGUUUCUUAUUCUUUGUAGUAUGGCACCUAAUACCCCUUUAUAGCUCGAUUUUUGGCAUUGUCUAUUAGUUUUGGGUUAAAUGAAAUCAAAUAAGAUUCAAGUAGGAUUCUCGAGAAAAAUCUAAAAGACAUUUGUCUCAGCCUCACUCAGUAUUAGUGCAAGAGCCGGUGCCACCCGACCUCUCACUGAGACUUUCCGCUAGUGGUCAUAGUUAUCCCCCUGCCGGGAAAUGGGUUUGAAUCUGCGAUAACGCUUUUCGAGGUGAACUAAAAAUUGAAACGGGAAAAAAUUCCAAAUAUGAGACAUCUGCCCUCUGUUUCUUAUUCUUUCUAGCAUGUGACACCUCACACGCCUUUAUAGCUCGAUUUUUGACAUUGUCCAUGAGUUUUGGGGUAAAUGAAAUCAAAUAAGAUUCAAAUAGGAUUCUCGAGUAAAAAUCUAAAAGACAUUUGCCUUUUAGUUUUUAUCCUCUAAUACUCAAAGUCUAUUCAAAUAAUUUUGAAGUAUAAAUUUCCUAGCAACAGUGGUGUAAAUCUCCUUCUUCCUCUAAAAAAAUUUGAUCACAAAAUUUGCUAAACCAGAAGUAACACUGAACGCUUUCAUAGUUGAAAUCAAAAAUAAUGGAAAGAACUACAAUGAUCAUUAGUUAUAAGGCACCUUGCUAAAAGUCUUUCCUUCCCCCCUUUGACCAUUCUCUAGACUGUAGAAAUUACGCGCAAAUAGUUAUUCCAUUUUAUUUUUAAAAUUUACUAAAAUCUCUCAAAAUUUAAUAAAAAAAAAUAAAAUUUUUUAUAAAAAAAAUCAUUUUUAUUUGAAAUACACUCUUUUAAAAGAUUUUUUUUUUGGCAAAAAAAGAAUACAAAAACCCAAAACAAACAAAAUUAAACGAGAUUAAAAUAAUUAUUAAAAAAAAUAUAUUAACUUGAUUUAAAGUGCCUUAGAAAAAAAUUAAAUUUAAAAAAAUGAGAAAACAAAUAAAAAAAUGUGGGAAAUAUUUGAAAGAAGCGAAACAAAAUACGAUAACAACACAAGGUAAAUAAAUCUAAGACAAAUGCUGAUAACUAAAAGGAAAUGCUAAACUAAAAAAAUAGAGACUUAUAGAAAAAAAACACAAAAUUAAAAAAAAAAUAAUAAUAAUGAAAAAACAAAAAUUAUUUUUGAGAAAACCUGCUAUCGUUUUUGUUUUUUAGUAAAUAGUCAAUAAAUCUGUAAAGAAACUUAAUUUUCUUUAAAAAAACAAAUUUAGAAAAACAAUUCAAAAUAUACUACAAAACUUCAUGUAGAAUUUGUUAUUUUUACUUAUUUGAAACUAAAAUUUAUUUCAAUUCUUAUAUGUGUAGCCCCUAAUUUGCCUUAAUUUGUUAAGUGGAAAAGUUAAAAUGAACGGAGAACUCCAAAGUUGUAUUCUUAAACUGAAAGGAACUUUAAUUUUGUUAACAAAUCUGGCUGACAAGAAAUGUGCAAAUCGAAUUCGAGCCACUGUAGCCUAUGACCGCCUUUAACGCUGAAGGCCUACCUUCAAAUUCUGGCAAUAAUAUCGGACAAAAUUUAAAGCGGUGAUGAUCCCCUCUUAAUGCUGGCGACAUUUGCCAUGCAUGGUCAUCUAAAAAAUUCUCCCCACAGAGAUCUCGCCCUGUGGCACCACAUUCGGAGUCGGCUAUAAAAAAAAGUCCCUUAUCAUUGAGUUUAAACUGGAAUCGAAAAGCUUUCAUUGAUGUGUGAGAAGUGUGCCCCUUCUCGGCCCCUGGGUAAAUUUUUACUCUCCCACUCCCAAAUACCUUUCUUUUGGGUCCUAUAUUAUUAGUAUGACUAGUAUUAGUAAAUAUUUCCGGUUUAGAGAGACACUUGGUCCUUAAUGUAAAUAAGCGCUUCGUGCUCUACUUUCAAAUACAUUUUAUAUGGGCCCUAUAAUGGCAUGAUCGGUAAAUGAAUUCUGUUUGAGGAUGGGACGGACCCCAGGGACUUUGUCCCGAAAAUGAGUAUAAAUUUCCCGAAAAUCAAUCAAUUUAAACAUCAAAUAACUUUUAUAUAAUGGGAGGUGUUUGCGGGUUGGGCAGUUCCCCAAACACAUGGCUCCUCAAUUGGAUAUCAAAUUCGUUUUUUUCUCUCAUGCAACUUUGAGCUCUAUAUUGUCGUGAUUGGUCUAUAUACCCAUUUGACGGGAUAUUGGACCGCCCCCGAGGCACCCAAACCCCAACAAUAGAAACCAUGUUUUAUUUUGACGUUAGAGUGCAUAAAAAAUUCGAACGAAUCGCAUUACCAAUCCCAAACAUUUGGCUCCAAAAUUUUUUUCUACUUUUUUCUACUCUCCAAUACCUUUCAUUUGAGUCCCAUAUUGUCCCGAUCAACCUAUUUGACUUAUUUUUGGAAAGAAAAGCGCCACCUAGACUUGAACUCAUAUUUUAAUGUCAUAUUCGUAAUCUACUCCCAAAUACCUUUUAUUUGAGUCCCAUAUAGACAUGGCCGGCUAAUAUGCCCAUUUGAGGGUACUUGGGGGUGGGGCCACCUGUUAUUACUUGGAUCUAAUUUUUGCCAUUUUUGUAAUCUACUGUCGAAUACUUUUCAUUUGGGGCCCAUAUUGAAAUGAAAUUCUAAUAUAUCUAUUUAGAGGAGUUUUUUGAUUGGGGAGGCCCGCUGGGUACUUGGACCUAAAAUUGUAAUACGAUAUUCGCUUUCUAGUCUCCAAUACUUUUCAUUUGAUACCUAUUUUGUCCCAAUCCGUCCACUUUUGGUUUUGGAUGGCGUUGUUGGGGUAAGGGGGAGAGAGGCUCCAUCCGAUAUCUAAAAAUUAUAUAGCCUAUGUUUCCUUCCAGACAAACUUACACUAUCUGUAAAAAUUUGAGGAAAAUCUGUUCAGCCGUUUUUGAUUCUACGGAAGAAACAAACCAAAAUCGAGUCCCAUAUAGUCAUGAUGGGUCAUAUUCCCAUUUAAAGCGUUUUUGGAGGGAAGGGGAAGCUCCCAAUUAUACUUUGAUCUGAUUUUGUAUGCCAGAUUCGUAAUCUACUCCCGAAUACUUUUCAUUUGAGGCCCAUAUUGUCAUGAACGCCCAAUAUAUCUGUUUGGGGGGAAUUUUAAGGUUGGUUAAGGUUAAGGUUCCAUAUUCGUAUUCUAUUCUCCAAUACUUUUCAUUUGAUACCGAUAAUGUCCCGAUCGGUCCAAUUUUGAUUUUGGAUUUUGAUUUUCCGAAAUCAACAAACUACAAAGCCUAUUGCUCCUUCCUGACCAUAUUCGCAAUCUACUCCCGAAUUACCUUUCAUUUGAUUCCCAUAUUGUCAUGAUCGUCCAAUGGCAAUUGAACCCCAGUUGCCAUUGAUUUUUGGGGGAGUUUAGGGGGUGAGACGACUCCGAAACACAUGGGCUUAAAAUUGGAUAUCAAAUUCGUUUUCUUCAUCAAGUGUCACAGUAGGCAUACAUGGAGUAGGAGUUUAGGGGGUGGACCCUGAAGUAAUAUCAGAGUCGUGCUGGAGUACGAUUUUGUUUGAGUAGACCCCCCCCCCACAUUAUGUAAUGCAUUUUGAAGUUUGCGAUUAAGAUUCAGAUCCACACUAUUUAAUUUUUUUUUGCAUUGGUUAUCUACAUUCAAAAUCAUAUAUCGAAGCUACCACUUGAGAUACCAGAUUUUUAAAGAUCCCCAGGUCCUCCCGUGUCCAUCCCAAUUUGAGGGUAAACAUUGUAUUCUACUACCAAAUACCUUUUAUUUCUGUCCUAUUCCAUCCUGUUCGGCCUUCAUAUAUUGUUAUACCCUCCACUAUGGGAUGGGAAUAUACUAAUUUCAUCAUUCUGUUUGUAACACCUCGAAAUAUACGUCUAAGACCCCAUAAAGUUUAUAUAUUCUCGAUCGAUGUGACAUUUUAAGUCGAACUAGCCACGUCCGUCCGUCUUUCCAUCCGUCCGUCUGUCUGUCGAAAGCACAUUUACUUUUGAAGGAGUAAAGCUAGCCAUCUUUAAUCUUGCACAAUUAUUUCUUAUUAGUGUAGGUCGGUUGGGUUUGUAAAUGGGCCAAAUCGGUUCAUGUUUUGAUAUAGCUGCCACAUAAACAGAUCCUGGGUCCUGACUUGACUUGAGCCUCUAGAGGGCGCAAUUCUCGUCCGUUUUGACUGAAAUUUCGCUAGUAGUGUUUUGAUGUCACUUUCAAUAGCAGAGCUAAGAAUGGUUCAAAUCGGUUCAUAACCCGAUGUAGCUGCCAUAUAAACCGAUUUUGGGUCUUGACUUCUUCAGCCUCUAGAGGGCGCAAUUCUUGUCCGAUUUGGUGUUUUGGUAUCACUUUCAACAACUGCAAUAAGUAUGGUUUAAAACGGUCCAUGUUUUGAUGUAGCUGUCAUAUAAACCGAUCUUGGGUUUUGACUUCUUGAGCCUCUAGAGGGCGCAAUUUUUGUCCGAUUUGACUGAAAUUUAGCACGUAGUGUUUUGGUAACUUUUCCCAUCACUGUGUUAAAUAUGAUUCAAAUCGGUUCAUAAAGUGGUAUAGCUGUCAUAUAAAGCGAUCUUGGAUCUUGACUUCUUUAGCCCAUAAAGCGCGCAAUUCUCAUACGAUUUGGAAGAAAUUUUGUACAACGGCUUCUCUCAUGACCAACCCGUAAUUUAAGUUGGUAGUGUGUUCGGCUAGUCUGUGCGAUGGUCAUGUAUUGAAUAAUUUGGUUAAAAGUUAGGCUGUUGCCCAAAAUGCGACUAUUUGUUUAAACGAAAUCAAAGUUGAAUAUGAUAUGAUAUAGACGGCAAUGUCCGGCCACAUUGAUUUACAACUCUUUUGGAAUAGAUCCAUUCUAACGAAAUAUCGUAUUUAAUUUUUAUAAGGCGCAUUUAAGAAAUCGAAUUUAUGUUCUAUGUUUUCUUUGUCAUACACAAUAUUUUUGUUUUUAGCGCCAUUUUCUCUGUAUACAUCUGAGCAAUUGAAAAAUCUCUGUUAAUGUAGUAAAAAGUGGGUUAUCGAAUAUUGUCGUAUUUUAUCAACAGUUAUUCAAAGCCAAAAAAUAUGCACAGCCUACAAAACAACAAUUGCGAUGUUAUCUCUGUACUGAAGAGUGCAAAUAGUGAUUAGUAAUUAAUUAUUAUUAGUUAUCGCAUGAUAUCGAUAACUAUUCAGUACAACUUUGGAUUGAAAAUUUAUUUAGUAUAUCUGGCGAUGCCCGGCUACAUUGAUUUACAACUCUUUUGGAAUAGAUCCAUUCUAACGAAAUAUCCUAUUUAAUUUUUAUAAGGCGCAUUUAAGAAAUCGAAUUUAUUUUCUGUAUUUUCUUUGUCAUACACAAUAUUUUUGUUUUUAGCGCCAUUUUCUCUUUAUACAUCUGUUUAUGGAGUAAAAAGUGGGUUAUCGAAUAUUGUCGUAUUUUAUCAACAGUUAUUCAGAGCCAAAAAAUAUGCACAGCCUACAAAACAACAAUUGCGGUGUUAUCUCUGUACUGUAUAGUGCAAAUAGUGAUUAGUAAUUAAUUAUUAUUAGUUAUCGCAUGAUAUCGAUAACUAUUCAGUACAACUUUGGAUUGAAAAUUUAUUUAGUAUAUCUGGCUUGCACUGAAUGGGACUAAAAUAAAAACGAUUGCACACACUUUGCACUGUAUAGUAUUUAAAUAAUAAACAGACCCUUUAUUUUAUAAAAUAUUUUCAAUUAUGUUAAAACUAUUAAAAUCCUCUUUAGUUUUUGUUUUGUUUUUUUUUUUUUUUUGAAGUACAUUACAAUUCAAUUCAUUUGUAAUUGAGAAGUCCCAUUACAAUGGAGUGAUAGAUUUUUUCUUUGAUUUUUCAAUACAAACCCUAAAGUCAUAUUCUAUUUUCUUAGUAAAUAUUGUAUAAUUUAAGAAAGUGUUCAUAUAUUCACAAAUUCAUAGGCUAUUAUGUAUUUAUUUCAGAUUAUCAAUAACAAUUCCCUUAAAAUAAAUACUUAAAAGUCAUUAUUUAGUUAAAGUAUGUUUUUUUUUUGCAAUGAAAGAACACUAGAUAGAUAUUUUUUAAUUUUAAUAGAUUUUUUUUUCAUUUAUUCUAUUUUUAUAAUUAAACAUAAGCCCGUUUUCUUUCUCUAAAACUUAAACACAGAAAGUUAAAAACAAACUUCUAUUCCUAUUAAUUUAAAACACAAAUACUGACUCUUAAAACAACAACAAAAAAAAUAAAUACUAAUUGUAAUGCAGCAAAUAAAUUAAAAAUAUAUAUUGUAUAAUAAAAAAGGAUAGUAAAUAAAUAAAAAAAAAAAUAUUUUUCUUUAAUUUUGAUAGAGGAAAGCAACAAAUUGAAUACCUUAACAAAUAAACAUCCGCAAAAUAAUUCAAACUGAAAAACAAGCAACACAUAAAAAACACUGUAUAUAUAAAUUGUAAAACAGAUUUAAAGACGAAAUUAAACCGAUCUUUGAGAUUUUAAACAAAAAAAACCUAGAAUACAGCGAAUACAACUGAAAAAAAGAAAAAAUAAGGGAAUUUCUGAGAAACGAAUAAAUAAAAGCAUAUUGUGAACAAUAAAUGAA